GCAUCUCAGGGCAACCCCGAACUCGCCGCGGGUCUGACGGGCGGCUGCGGGGCCCAGGACGCCCGCAGGAAUCCGCGAACCCCGGGCGUGGAGAAUGGAGCCAGGAACGGGCUGAGGAGCCCGGGUUUAAACCUCCAAGACCAGAAUUCACUUACCAGAGCAGGACCUUCGCUUCCGGAAAUCCCCUUCCGGGUUAGUAGGAAAUUACGUGGAGGGCGGGGCCUUUGUCCGGGAGGGGAGAGGGCAACGUGGGGCGGGGCCGUGCGAGAGUGUGAUCAACGUGGGGCGGGGCCGGUUCGGGGGGCGCGGCCAGCGUGUGACGUAGCCGAGGGAGGGCGGGGCCGGAGCAGCGUGGGGCGGGUCCACGGCCGGCGUGGGGCGGGGCAUGGAGAGGGCGAGCGUGGAGCCGGGACAGGACGUCGGCGGGGGGCGGGGCUGGGGCCGGGGUGCGGCCGGCGUGGGGAGGAGUCUGGGGAGGGCGAGCGCGGAGCCCGGACGGGACGUCGGCGGAGGGGCGGGGCCUGGGGAGCGCGAGCACGAAGCCGGGACGGGACGCCAACGGAGGGGCGGGGCCGGGCCGGUGAGCGGCCAGCGUGGGGCGGGGCCUGGGGAGGGGGAGCAGAAAGCGGGGACGGGACGUCGGCGGAGGGGCGGGGCCGCGGCCGGGGCGCGGCCAGCGUGGGGCGGGGCCUGGGGAGGGUGAGCAGAGAGCGGGGACGGGACGUCUGCGGAGGGGCGGGGCUGGGACCGGGGUGCGGCCGGCGUGGGGCGGGGCCGGGGCGGAACGCCAGCGGAGGGGCGGGGCCCGGGGAGGGCGAGCACGAAGCCGGGACGUCGGCUGCGGGACGGAGCCGCGGCCGGCGUGGGGCGGGGCCCGGGGAGGGCGAGCACGAAGCCGGGACGUCGGGGGAGGGGCGGGGCCGCGGCCGGCGUGGGGCGGGGCCCGGAGAGGGCGAGCGCGGAGCCCGGACGGGACGUCGGCGGAGGGGCGGGGCCUGGGGAGCGCGAGCACGAAGCCGGGACGGGACGUCAACGGAGGGGCGGGGCCGGGCCGGUGAGCGGCCAGCGUGGGGCGGGGCCUGGGGAGGGGGAGCAGAAAGCGCGGACGGGACGUCGGCGGAGGGGCGGGGCCGGGGCCGGGGCGCGGCCGGCGUGGGGCGGGGCCCGGGCGGGGUGCGUACGGAGGUAGGAAGAGGCGGCCGCAGACUUUCCGGUCGGCCCCUCGUCCGCUGCCGCGCGCCGGCCGGCUGGCCGCUCGGGUCGGUUGGCGGCUGCCUGGUGUCCGAGGGAGCCGGCCGCUGCUUCCCUACUUCCGGGGAGCUGUUUGGGGCAGUUCCAGACCAUUGCUACUGCGGCAUAGGAUUAUUGUAAUCUGGGUUUCUCUUUGCCCAAUCCCCCAAAGGGAAGUGGGCAACAUCAUGGAAGGAAAGAAUCAAACAGCUCUGUUUGAAUUCAUCAUCUUGGGAUUCUCCAACCUAAAUGAUUUGCAAGUUCUAC
rnacentral:lncRNA from 1 species